GCGCUCGCCUGGUUCUCGAGGCCUUCUGCGGCAGAUGCGGAGGAACAGCAGGGAGCGGGCGGGGCCGCCGCUGAGGAUGCGGCGGACGAGGCAGAGGCCGAGAUCAUUCAGCUGCUGAAGCGAGCCAAGUUGAGCAUCAUGAAAGAUGAACCAGAAGAGGCUGAGCUAAUAUUGCAUGAUGCUCUUCGCCUUGCCUAUCAGAGCGAUAACCUGAAAGCCAUCACUUACACUUAUGAUUUGAUGGCCAACUUAGCGUUUAUACGGGGCCAACUAGAAAAUGCAGAACAACUUUUUAAAGCAACAAUGAGUUAUCUGCUUGGAGGGGGCAUGAAGCAGGAAGACAAUGCAAUAAUUGAAAUCUCCCUAAAACUGGCCAGUAUCUAUGCUGCUCAGAAUAGACAAGAAUUUGCUCUCGCUGGCUAUGAAUUCUGCAUUUCAACUUUAGAGGAAAAAAUUGAACGAGAAAAGGAAUUAUCAGAAGAUGUUAUGUCAGCGGAAGAAAAAGCCAAUACCCACCUCCUUCUGGGCAUGUGCUUAGACUCCUGUGCACGCUACCUUCUGUUCUCCAAGCAGCCAUCACAGGCACAAAGGAUGUAUGAAAAAGCUCUGCAGAUUUCUGAAGAAAUACAAGGAGAAAGACACCCACAGACCAUUGUGCUCAUGAGUGACCUGGCUACUACUCUGGACGCACAGGGCCACUUUGAUGAGGCCUAUAUUUAUAUGCAAAGGGCAUCAGAUCUGGCAAGACAGAUAAAUCAUCCUGAGCUGCACAUGGUACUCAGUAACCUAGCUGCAAUUUUGAUACACAGAGAACGAUAUACACAAGCAGAAGAGAUCUACCAGGAAGCACUGAAGCAAGCAGAGAUGAAAAGAGAUGAGGUUUCUGUACAGCACAUCAGGGAAGAAUUGGCUGAGCUGUCAAGAAAAAGUAGAUCUUUGACUUAAUAUUAUCAAGUGUUAAACCCAUUUUUUUUUUUUUUGUAGGGAGGGUAGUUUCUAGUGGCCUAAAGGAAUAACUAUUAUUCUAGUGUCUGUGGCACCCAAAUCAAUGGUGUAAAUUUUCUGUUCUUGAUAUUCAGGUUUCCUCAACUUAGCCUUGGUGAAGGACAAGUUGUACAUACUGCCACAUUUGUUUUUAAAGGAAAAACAACUUUCACCCUUCACUAAUUAUGACCUCUAAGGAUUGAUGUCAAAUGAUGCUUUCCAUUGUAUUAUAUGGAUAGGUGCUGUCCAUGCUGGUCUAAGUGUAAUUAUAGAUUAAGAUGGGCUACUUUUCCUCUGGGUUGUGGGUGUGGGGGUCUGGUAAUUAUGCCUAACAUCGCUACCGAAAGAUUUUUGGUUCACUGAUUUGCUGCCCUUUCUUCUUUUACUUUGUCAAUAUCUGGCAGACCAGAGCUACUCAUGGCAAAGGGAAAUUAUGUGAGAGCUUUUGCUUGAAGAUAACAGAAGAAAAUAAACCUAAAAACUGAAAUACUGCUGAACUUCAGAUGUGCCUGGAAUAAUGCUUCUCCAGUAGCAGCAGCAGCAGCACUACUUUCUAGAUGAUGUGAUCCAUAUGGCUUAAGCUUACACUGUGCCUGUCGUUUUUUCUUACAAUUGGAAGUCACUUUUAUUAAAAAACAUGUAUGCUUCUGUCAUGAUAAUGUACAGGGGGCAAGACAAAGACUACAGGGUCAAGUGGAGACCAUACCAAGGUGGAACAGUUCCCAACUGGCUGCUCUGAGAUCUACAUCUCCAUGCUUUGACAGGUUAAUCUUUGAAUUCUGACAGGAUUUCAACAUGAAGGUAGUUGGUGACAUUUGAGAAGCUAUAAAUAACAGAUGAGACUAUUGAAGCUUUGAGAUAGAAAACUGUAAUGAUAAUAUUAAAAGGGGGAUAUGGUACCUAUAGGGCUGACAGUAGUUCUGGUUGGCAUUAUCUUUGAGAUGAUUUGUUGCCAUUAAAAAAAAAAAGAAUCUAAUAAUUAAAAGCCAGGAUAAAUUCACAUGGAAGUGAUAUUGGGCUCAUCCUUUUUUCUCUUUGACAUUCAACGGUUAAUCACAAAGUGAGACAGAUCCAAACACACAUACACCUGGCAGUUCACAGUUCAGAGCCAACAGUUUCCUUUCUUUUGGCAGUGUCAGGAGACCGGUAGAUGGUAGAUGGCAGAAACAGAGCAAACGGAGGUCUAUACAGAUUCUACCACAGGAUGGAAAUGACGGAUAAGUAAGACUGGGUGAUAGUACAAGUGAGCGUGCUGCGUGACCAAGUGCAGGAGGGUUCUGAUGAAUGCAUGCACAUCAGCCCAAAGGAAAGUUCUGCCAUAGAGUUUCAUUGGAUAUUUAACCACAAUCUGGCUAAGGAUGCUGUGAGUAUAGAACUGUUAGAAGCCUGUUAGUACAUCACUGGAAGCAUAGACUCUGGAGUUGGAAUGCCUGAGUUUAAAACCACAGCCCCAUUACUUACUAGUUAUGUAACCUGCGCCCGUUAUUAAACCUCUCUGAGUCUCAGUUUUCUCAUCUACAAAAUGGAGAUAAUUAUAUGUAGCAUGUGGGUUUGUGAGGAUUAACUGAAUUCAUAUAUACAUACAUAUGUAGAAUAGUGCCUAGCACACAUUACUAGUCUCCCUUCGUUACAAUUAUUAUUGAUGAUGUUAUACGGUAAGUCUACCAGAGUUGCAUAUAAAUGCUGAAUGUCCAGAGAGACCCUGGUGGGAUAGAGAAAGUAGCUGGAAGGGAGCAAGCAUAGAUUGCCUUGAGAAGGGGAAAGGUGUGAUUUAAAAGUAGCCCACUAAGAGAACUUGAAACCUAUAUUCAUACUUUGUGUAUUUAUAACUUCAGUGUUUAGACUGCCAACAAAAAUGGUGAUAAGAUCUUAGGCUACCUUAAUAACAAUGAAUUUACUCUAGAUCUAAUCACACUAUUUUGUGGAGAGCAACUGAGAUAGCAGGGUUACUCAGAACAAGGAUGUGAAAAACAAUCAAUGAAACUAGGAAUAUUUACAGACUCACAAAGGACAUGACUUCAGAUAGUCUUUACCUAUCUGAAGACAUGGUGUAUGGAGAUGGCCCAAAAAGAAAAAACUAAAAUCAGUGACUUAAAAACAAACCCCCACAACUGUCCAAAC